rnacentral:rRNA from 1 species
CUCGAAUUUCUAUAAGAGGUCCAGCCUGCCCAGUGACCAUGUUCAACGGCCGCGGUAUCCUAACCGUGCGAAGGUAGCGUAAUCACUUGUUCUUUAAAUGUGGACUAGUAUGAAUGGCAUCACGAAGGUUAUACUGUCUCCUUUUUCUAAUCAGUGAAACUAAUCUUCCCGUGAAGAAGCGGGAAUAACCCUAUAAGACGAGAAGACCCUAUGGAGCUUAAAACAAUAUAACAUUUGCUACACAACUUAUUGACUUCCCAAUACUUAACUUUAUAAGCAAUAUGUCUAUAAGUUUUUGGUUGGGGUGACCGCGGAGCAUAACACAACCUCCACAUUGAAAGAACUUUUUCUAAGCUGAGAUUUACAAAUCUAAGCAUCAGUAUUCUGACAUCCAUUGACCCAAUAUAUUGAACAACGAACCAAGUUACCCUAGGGAUAACAGCGCAAUCCACUUCAAGAGCUCCUAUCGACAAGUGGGUUUACGACCUCGAUGUUGGAUCAGGGUAUCCCAGUGGUGCAGCCGCUACUAAAGGUUCGUUUGUUCAACGAUUAAAACCCU